rnacentral:rRNA from 1 species
UACGUAGGCAGCGAGCGUUUGUUCGGAAUUACUGGGCGUAAAGAGUGUGUAGGCGGUGCUCUAAGUUCGGUGUGAAAUCUCCUGGCUCAACUGGGAGGGUGCGCCGGAAACUGGAGUGCUUGAGCGUGGGAGAGGAAGCGGAAUUCCUGGUGUAGCGGUGAAAUGCGUAGAUAUCAGGAGGAACACCUGUGGUGUAGACGGCUUUCUGGACCAUAGCUGACGCUGAGACACAAAGCGUGGGUAGCAAACAGG